rnacentral:rRNA from 1 species
UUACUAGAGCAAAGGAUAGACAGCGCCCGCGGAGCUCGCUCCCGGGGCUACCCUACUCCCGUAGGGUUUAGAGUCGUCGGGCCUCUCGGAGAAGCUCGGUCCUGAACUCCACCCUUGAAUAAACUACCUUUGUUGCUUUGGCGGGCCGCCUCGUGCCAGCGGCUUCGGCUGUUGAGUGCCCGCCAGAGGACCCCAACUCUUGUUUUUAGUGAUGUCUGAGUACUAUAUAAUAGUUAAAACUUUCAACAACGGAUCUCUUGGUUCUGGCAUCGAUGAAGAACGCAGCGAAAUGCGAUAAGUAAUGUGAAUUGCAGAAUUCAGUGAAUCAUCGAAUCUUUGAACGCACAUUGCGCCCUCUGGUAUUCCGGGGGGCAUGCCUGUUCGAGCGUCAUUAUAACCACUCAAGCUCUCGCUUGGUAUUGGGGUUCGCGGUUUCGCGGCCCCUAAAAUCAGUGGCGGUGCCUGUCGGCUCUACGCGUAGUAAUACUCCUCGCGAUUGAGUCCGGUAGGUCUACUUGCCAGCAACCCCUAAUUUUUUUAAGGUUGACCUCGGAUCAGGUAGGGAUACCCGCUGAACUUAAGCAUAUCAAUAAGCGGAGGAAAAGAAACCAACAGGGAUUACCUCAGUAACGGCGAGUGAAGCGGUAACAGCUCAAAUUUGAAAGCUGGCUCUUUUAGGGUCCGCGUUGUAAUUUGUAGAAGAUGCUUCGGGUGUGGCCCCGGUCUAAGUUC